rnacentral:rRNA from 1 species
UCCUGGCUUAGGACGAACGCUGGCGGCGUGCCUAAUACAUGCAAGUCGAACGGCUUUUCUAUGGAAGCUUGCUUCCACUGAGAAGAUAGUGGCGAACGGGUGAGUAACACGUGGGUAACCUGCCCAUAAGAGGGGGGAUAACAUCCGGAAACGGGUGCUAAUACCGCAUAGUUUUCUUGAUCGCAUGAUCGGGAAAGGAAAGACGGCCUUUGUGCUGUCGCUUAUGGAUGGACCCGCGGCGUAUUAGUUAGUUGGUGAGGUAACGGCUCACCAAGACGAUGAUACGUAGCCGACCUGAGAGGGUGAUCGGCCACAUUGGGACUGAGACACGGCCCAAACUCCUACGGGAGGCAGCAGUAGGGAAUCUUCCGCAAUGGACGAAAGUCUGACGGAGCAACGCCGCGUGAGUGAAAGAAGGUUUUCGGAUCGUAAAACUCUGUUGUCAGAGAAGAACAAGUUGGAGAGUAACUGCUCCAGCCUUGACGGUAUCUGACCAGAAAGCCACGGCUAACUACGUGCCAGCCGCCGC